rnacentral:rRNA from 1 species
UUCCCAAUUAACUUGUUUCUAGUAAAAGGCUAAAAAAGUCAGUGGAGUAAUAGCCUUAGCGAUGGAUCGGUUGAUUCGCGUAUCGAUGAAAAACGCAGCUAGCUGCGUUAUUUACCACGAAUUGCAGACGCUUAGAGUGGUGAAGUUUUGAACG